UAAACCUUUCAAAAGAAAGCACUUAAACGUUGGAAAUAUGUCUCAUCAGUACUAUCAAAGGAUCUGGGGAGAGGCGGUCAAUGUCUUGAACACAGCUACUAGCCUAGACGCAAUUUUGCAGUCAGCUAAGCCUGAAAGGG